ACCCCGACCUGCUCCUUAAUGACCUGUCUCUGUACUGUCUGACCCCUAUCUGCUCUUUCAUGACCAGUCUCUGUACUUUCUAACCGUUGGACAGUACAGAGACAGGACAUUAAGGAGCAGGUAGGGUUAGACAGUACAGAGACAGGUCAUUAAGGAGCAGGUAGGGGUUAAACAGUACAGAGACAGGUCAUUAACACGCAUCUUGCUCUAGGAUGCCUUCAGGUAGACUGAGGAAUUUGGGGAUUGAACCCAGAACCUCAGCUGGGAUUGAAAUAGCCUAACCACAAUGAACCUGCCCUCUCUACCUACUAGAUAGACUAACCACUAGAGGCUUCUAGAAGCUACUCGCUGUGUUAUCGUUUUUUUUAUACAUAGCUAAUGCACUUUUGUUGUGUGAACUUGAACCUGUGUAAAUAUCUGUGUGGGAAAUAUGUGUGUUGCAAGUAUUCUGAUUAAACAUGUAACCGUAAUAUGAGAUGGUACGUUAUGACUUAAUGUUGAGACAAAAUAAAACAUAUCAGAAAAUACAUCUCACCAUCUGGUAAGAGCUUUUAUUUUGAAAAUGCACUGGUUGGACUUUUCUAGAUUUGGUCAAGACCUACAUCUGUACUGUCCAACCCCUACCUGCUCCUUAAUGACCUGUCUCUGUAGUCUAACCCCUCCCUGCUCCUUAAUGACCCGUCUCUGUACUGUCUAACCCCUACCUGCUCCUUAAUGACCUGUCUCUGUAGUCUAACCCCUACCUGCUCCUUAAUGACCUGUCUCUGUACUGUCUAACCCCUACCUGCUCCUUAAUGACCUGUCUCUGUACUGUCUAACCCCUACCUGAUCCUUAAUCACCUGUCUCUGGACUGUCCAACCCCUACCUGCUCCUGAUGACUUUGAGUAGGUCAAAGCUUAUUUUAUCUUAUUGGAGAGAAAACAGAGGCUAAAAGCAGACGACUGGUUCAGUAUUUAAUCAAGCAGUCUCCAGAUCGUCUCUUAAAACAUUUUACACUCAAUUAAAAAGGAAACUCUUUGGCCUCAAUUCAGCCGGAGCAACAUUGAGCUGUAGGGAAGACCCUGAAUCCAUUAGUGUUGUUAGGGGUCCCAGCAGGGGUCCCAGCGGGGGGGGACCCAGGUUCCCCCCUGCAGGUCUACGCUGUGGUCGGCUCCCAAGGGACCCACCCUCUCAAAACAUUCCACCCCCAGGGCCGUGUUGGAGAUACUUGGUGUUCAACAGUCACAUUCUCCACCAGUCUGACCGUUAGAAAAUAAAUCACACCCAAUACUUUUAUAAAGCAUAGUCCUUAAAUAAAGAAUUAAAAAUA